GGCGGAGGCUAAACACUGCAAGUCGAGCGCGCCUUCGGGUGAGCGGCGGACGGGUUAGUAACGCGUGGGAACGUGCCCUUCUCUACGGAAUAGCCUCUGGAAACGGAGAGUAAUACCGUAUACGCCCUUUGGGGGAAAGAUUUAUCGGAGAAGGAUCGGCCCGCGUUAGAUUAGGUAGUUGGUGGGGUAACGGCCUACCAAGCCUACGAUCUAUAGCUGGUUUAGAGGAUGAUCAGCAACACUGGGACUGAGACACGGCCCAGACUCCUACGGGAGGCAGCAGUGGGGAAUCUUAGACAAUGGGGGCAACCCUGAUCUAGCCAUGCCGCGUGAGUGAUGAAGGCCUUAGGGUCGUAAAGCUCUUUCGCCUGUGAUGAUAAUGACAGUAGCAGGUAAAGAAACCCCGGCUAACUCCGUGCCAGCAGCCGCGGUAAUACGGAGGGGGUUAGCGUUGUUCGGAAUUACUGGGCGUAAAGCGCGCGUAGGCGGAUUAGAAAGUUGGGGGUGAAAUCCCGGGGCUCAACCCCGGAACUGCCUCCAAAACUGCUAGUCUAGAGUUCGAGAGAGGUGAGUGGAAUUCCCGAGUGUAGAGGUGAAAUUCGUAGAUAUUCGGAGGAACACCAGUGGCGAAGGCGGCUCACUGGCUCGAUAUAGAACGCUGAGGUGCGAAAGUGUUGGGAGCAACCAGAUUAGAUCCCUGUUAAUCCCACACGUAAACAUGAUUGCCA
rnacentral:rRNA from 1 species